rnacentral:rRNA from 1 species
ACGGAGGGUGCAAACGUUGCUCGGAAUCACUGGGCGUAAAGCGCUCGUAGGCGGUUUGUCAAGUCAGAUGUGAAAUCCCCGGGCUUAACCUGGGAAGUGCAUUUGAAACUGGCAAGCUAGAGGUUGGGAGGGGGUAGCGGAAUUCCUGGUGUAGAGGUGAAAUUCGUAGAUAUCGGGAGGAACACCAGAGGCGAAGGCGGCUACCUGGACCAAUACUGACGCUGAGGAGCGAAAGCGUGGGGAGCAAACAG